GGAGGGUGCAGCUCAGUGGUAGAGCGCCUGCUUUGCAUGCAGGUGGUCCUGGGUUGAAUCCCCAAAACCUCCA
rnacentral:tRNA from 1 species